rnacentral:rRNA from 1 species
UACGUAGGCAGCGAGCGUUGUUCGGAGUUACUGGGCGUAAAGGGUGUGUAGGCGGUUGUUUAAGUUUGGUGUGAAAUCUCCCGGCUCAACUGGGAGGGUGCGCCGAAUACUGAAUGACUCGAGUGUGGGAGAGGUGAGUGGAAUUCCAGGUGUAGCGGUGAAAUGCGUAGAUAUCUGGAGGAAUACCGGUGGCGAAGGCGGCAUCCUGGACCGGCAUUGACGCUGAGUGAGCGAAAGCCAGGGGAGCAAACGGG